rnacentral:misc_RNA from 1 species
GAUGAAGAACGUAGCGAAAUGCGAUACUUGGUGUGAAUUGCAGAAUCCCGUGAACCAUCGAGUCUUUGAACGCAAGUUGCGCCCGAAGCCUCGGCUAAGGGCACGUCUGCCUGGGCGUCACGCAUCGCGUCUCCCCCAAACCGCCAAGGCGGAGGGGAAGGAAGAUGGCUUCCCGUGCCUCACCCGGGCGCGGUUGGCCUAAAUUUGGAGCCCGCGGCACUUAGCUCUCGCGGCGAUAGGUGGUGAACAAGGCCUUGGCCGUGCAAACAACCCGCUGCGAAGCUCUAUGUCACGUGCGCUCGUCGGACCCUUUGAAGUUGCCUUUGGUGACUUAAAACCUUUGCGACCCCAGGUCAGGCGGGGCUACCCGCUGAAUUUAAGCAUAUGAAUAAGCGGAGGA